rnacentral:rRNA from 1 species
UACGUAGGGUGCGAGCGUUAAUCGGAAUUACUGGGCGUAAAGCGUGCGCAGGCGGUUUUGUAAGCCAGAUGUGAAAUCCCCGGGCUUAACCUGGGAAUGGCAUUUGGGACUGCAAGGCUGGAGUUUGGCAGAGGAGACUGGGAAUUCCUGGUGUAGCAGUGAAAUGCGUAGAUAUCGUAAGGAAGGCCGGUGGCGAAAGCGAGCCUCUGGACAGUUACUGACGCUGAUGCACGAAGGCCAGGGGAGCAAACGGG